GCCAUAUCACGCUGAAACAUCGGUUCCCGUACGAUCACCGAAGUUAAGCAACGUCGAGUCUGGUGAGCACUUAGAUGGGUGACCGCUUAGGAAUACUAUGUGCUGUAAG